rnacentral:rRNA from 1 species
AGCGAACGCUGGCGGGAGGGGGAACACAUGCAAGUCGCGCGGGUGGUUUCGGCCAUCAGCGGCGGACGGGUGAGUAUCGCGUAGGAAUGUAUCCCGAGGUGGGGGACAACCCUGGGAAACUGGGGCUAAUACCGCAUGGGGCGUGUGGGUCAAAGCCUUAGGGCGCCUUGGGAGCAGCCUGCGUCCGAUUAGGUAGUUGGUGGGGUAAAGGCCUACCAAGCCUGCGAUCGGUAGCUGGUCUGAGAGGACGAUCAGCCACACUGGGACUGAGACACGGCCCAGACUCCUACGGGAGGCAGCAGUGGGGAAUAUUGGACAAUGGGCGCAAGCCUGAUCCAGCAAUGCCGCGUGGGUGAAGAAGGUCUUCGGAUUGUAAAGCCCUUUCGGCGGGGACGAUGAUGACGGUACCCGCAGAAGAAGCCCCGGCUAACUUCGUG